rnacentral:rRNA from 1 species
GCUUAGUGGUGGGGUGACUGCGUACCUUUUGUAUAAUGGGUCAGCGACUUAUAUUCUGUAGCAAGGUUAACCGAAUAGGGGAGCCGGAGGGAAACCGAGUCUUAAUUGGGCGUUAAGUUGCAGGGUAUAGACCCGAAACCCGGUGAUCUAGCCAUGGGCAGGUUGAAGGUUGGGUAACACUAACUGGAGGACCGAACCGACUAAUGUUGAAAAAUUAGCGGAUGACCUGUGGCUGGGGGUGAAAGGCCAAUCAAACCGGGAGAUAGCUGGUUCUCCCCGAAAGCUAUUUAGGUAGCGCCUCGUGAAUUCAUCUCCGGGGGUAGAGCACUGUUUCGGCUAGGGGGCCAUCCCGGCUUACCAACCCGAUGCAAACUGCGAAUACCGGAGAAUGUUAUCACGGGAGACACACGGCGGGUGCUAACGUCCGUCGUGAAGAGGGAAACAACCCAGACCGCCAGCUAAGGUCCCAAAGUCAUGGUUAAGUGGGAAACGAUGUGGGAAGGCCCAGACAGCCAGGAUGUUGGCUUAGAAGCAGCCAUCAUUUAAAGAAAGCGUAAUAGCUCACUGGUCGAGUCGGCCUGCGCGGAAGAUGUAACGGGGCUAAACCAUGCACCGAAGCUGCGGCAGCGAACGUAUCACCCAAGACAACUUUACGGAGUUGACGAUUGACGGAGCGAAGCGACGUCAAAGCGUUCAUUAAAGUCGAGUUGGCUUAGGGAUACGUUCGUUGGGUAGGGGAGCGUUCUGUAAGCCUGUGAAGGUGUGUCGUGAGGCAUGCUGGAGGUAUCAGAAGUGCGAAUGCUGACAUAAGUAACGAUAAAGCGGGUGAAAAGCCCGCUCGCCGGAAGACCAAGGGUUCCUGUCCAACGUUAAUCGGGGCAGGGUGAGUCGACCCCUAAGGCGAGGCCGAAAGGCGUAGUCGAUGGGAAACGGGUUAAUAUUCCCGUACUUGGUGUUACUGCGAAGGGGGGACGGAGAAGGCUAUGUUGGCCGGGCGACGGUUGUCCCGGUUUAAGCGUGUAGGUGUGUGUUCCAGGUAAAUCCGGUUCACUUUAACACUGAGGCGUGACGACGAGG